rnacentral:rRNA from 1 species
AACGUAGGAGACAAACGUUAUCCGGAGUUACUGGGCGUAAAGGGCGUGUAGGCGGUUAGUUAAGUCUGGCGUGAAAGCUCUCGGCUAAACCGGGAGAGGUCGUUGGAUACUGGCUGACUAGAGGACGGUAGAGGCGUGUGGAAUUCCGGGUGUAGUGGUGUAAUGCGUAGAGAUCCGGAGGAACACCAGUGGCGAAGGCGACACGCUGGGCCGUACCUGACGCUAAAGCGCGACAGCAUGGGGAGCAAACGGG